rnacentral:rRNA from 1 species
AUUGAACGCUGGCGGCAUGCCUUACACAUGCAAGUCGAACGGCAGCGGGGACUUCGGUCCGCCGGCGAGUGGCGAACGGGUGAGUAAUGUAUCGGAACGUACCAUUGAGUGGGGGAUAGCUAUCCGAAAGGAUAGCUAAUACCGCAUAUUCUCUCCGGAGGAAAGCAGGGGACCGCAAGGCCUUGCGCUCAUUGAGCGGCCGAUAUCAGAUUAGCUAGUUGGUGAGGUAAAGGCUCACCAAGGCGACGAUCUGUAGCGGGUAUGAGAGGAUGAUCCGCCACACUGGAACUGAGACACGGUCCAGACUCCUACGGGAGGCAGCAGUGGGGAAUUUUGGACAAUGGGGGCAACCCUGAUCCAGCCAUGCCGCGUGAGUGAAGAAGGCCUUCGGGUUGUAAAGCUCUUUCGGCCGGGAAAAAAUCGCAUGGGUUAAUACCCUGUGUGGAUGAUGGUACCGGAAUAAGAAGCACCGGCUAACUACGUGCCAGCCGCCGCGGUAAAAC